rnacentral:lncRNA from 1 species
CGAACCUGACACCGUGGAGGCCUAGGCUAAUGAAAUCGAGGCUCAGAGAGGUAGAGCAAAGAGUCUGCUUGACUUCAAGACCAUGCUCUUUCUACUCCUCCAAGCUGAAAAUAAAAUCACAUCACUAGAACUCAAGAGAGAAGGGGAGAAGGGUAGGAGGGAGACGGCGGGCUGACAGCACUCAGAAGAUGGGGCAUUGCCUUCUGAAGCUUCCUGAGUGAACAGCCACUCAUGCUUGGCUUUGAAUCUUGGUAAACCAACCCCUCACAUCAUAGCAGGUGUCUAACUGGCCCACUCCUGUGAGGACCUCCCAGUGGCAGGUCUGGCCCCUUCACCCCAUUUUAUAGCUGUGCAGACUGAGGCUCCAAGGAGUCAAACUGUCUGAGGUCCCACAGUGAGGCCCCGGGCACCAGGGCUCUGUCCCUGAACUGCCUAGCAGUGAGGGGCAAUCUUGGUGGGGCUUGGAGGUGGCAGCUGAGAAAGAAUGACCCCCCCCCUCCCACAACCACCGCCACCACCACAGACCAGUGUCAUCACACAGUCACAAGACUCUGGUUAUCAGCUAUCUCCCGGAUAGACUGUACAUGCUCUAGGGAGAGGGGUCGGGGCUGUUGUGGGGACCCCUCGGCUCCCAGUUCCAAGCACAGAGCCAGGCACAGAAACUUCAUUGGAAGGAGGGAGGGAUGGGUAGGAUGGUGUACCAAAGCCAUAGGCCUCGGGCUCCAACCCACUCCCAGGGCCAACAGCACCCUGCCUAUCACAUAUUAAGAAGAAAUUUCUUUCUUUUUUUUUUCUUGAGACAGGUUCUCACUCUGUCACCCAGACUGGAGUGCAGUGACGCAAUCUGGGCUCACCACAACCUCUGACUCCGGGGUUCAAGUGAUUCUCCUGCCUCAGUCUCCCAAGUAGCUGGGAUCCUGACCCAGGCACCCACCACCAAGCCCAGCUAAUUUUUGUAUUUUUAGUAGAGAUGAGGUUUCACCAUGU